rnacentral:rRNA from 1 species
CUACGGGAUGCUCCAGUAGGGAAUAUUGCACAAUGGGGGAAACCCUGAUGCAGCAAUGCCACGUGAGUGAGGAAGGUUUUCGGAUUGUAAAGCUCUGUCCUAUAGGAAGAAAGGCUUAGGGUAACGCCUAAGAUUGACGGUACUAUAGGAGAAAGCACCGGCUAACUCCGUGCCAGCAGCCGCGGUAAUACGGAGGGUGCAAGCGUUGUUCGGAUUUACUGGGCGUAAAGCGCGCGCAGGCGGAUUAGCAAGUCAGAUGUGAAAUCUCGGGGCUCAACCCCGAAACUGCGUCUGAAACUGUUAGUCUAGAAGCUCAGAGGGGGCAGGGGAAUUUCACGUGUAGGGGUAAAAUCCGUAGAGAUGUGAAGGAACACCGGUGGCGAAGGCGCCUGCCUGGAUGAGUAUUGACGCUGAGGCGCGAAAGCGUGGGGAGCAAACAGGAUUAGAUACCCGCGUAGUC